GCUUUCUUUGACUAUAUCUAUACCAAAAUUGGAAUGAUAUAGAAAAGACUAGCAUUGCCUCUACUGUAGGAUGACAAACACUUUAGGAACUGCUCCACCACUUU